UACUGAGGACUGUAAGAAACGAGUGGUU
rnacentral:piRNA from 1 species